rnacentral:rRNA from 1 species
AGGCUUUGAUCCUGGGCUCAGAAUGAACGCUGGCGGCGUGCUUAACACAUGCAAGGUUGAACGAGAAAUCUUUGAGCUUGCUCGGAAGAGAGUAAAGUGGCGAACGGGUGAGUAACGCGUGGGUAAUUUGCCUUCGAAUCGGGGAUAACUUGCCGAAAGGCUUGCUAAUACCGGAUGACAUCGUUUUGACAUUGGUUGAGAUGAUUAAAGGUGGCCUCUUGAAAAAGCUACCGUUUGGAGAUAAGCCCGCGUACCAUUAGCUAGUUGGUAGGGUAAAGGCCUACCAAGGUGACGAUGGUUAGCUGGUCUGAGAGGAUGAUCAGCCACACUGGAACUGACACACGGUCCAGACUCCUACGGGAGGCAGCAGUGAGGAAUUUUGCGCAAUGGGGGAAACCCUGACGCAGCAACGCCGCGUGAGUGAUGAAGGCCUUCGGGUUGUAAAGCUCUGUCGGGUGGGAAGAAAGUGAAUGGAUCCAGACAGGUCUGAUUAUUGACGGUACCAUCAGAGGAAGCACCGGCGUA